GGAAGGAAGGAGAAAUUAUGAGCGAGAGCCUGACACCUGAUGCUGGCGGCUUUUGUCUCGCCAAGUUGACCCAUUAUUUGGCCACCUUGUGCGGCGUGUGACUAUGGUGUCCGGGAUUGGUGUCAGCAGAAAACCAACAGUGAUGUGGUGGCACACAGUGAACUGACCAGACCCAGGCAGCAGCAGCUCUUUUGGUGGCACGUCAUGGGUACUCUCCUUGCUAAUGGCAGAUACCGACAGGCAAACUGUUACCUUGCGUUUAGCUCUGUUAGCCAUUGACAGUAAGGUAAGCAUGUCUUCAGCGUUCAUAACUCUUAAAGAUCUUGUCUGUAACACAAGACCGGGGUCUCAUUUUGUUGUCCUGACUUAGACUUGGCAGUUCUCCUGCUUCAGCCUGCUAAGUGCCAAGAUUACAGGGUUGAGCCAGCAUGCCUAACUUCUAGUUUAGUUUCUUCAGAUAGGGUCUCAUGCAGCACAGGCUGGCUUCAGACUUGCUAUGGAGCAUAGGAUUACCUUGAACCCUUGAUCUUCCUGCCUCUACCUUCUAAGUUCUGGGAUUCCAGGCAUACUCAGUUAAAACAAUAAAGUUUCAAGUGGUGGGUUUAGUCGUAUUCUUCUGGAGACUAAGACAAUAGAGUCCUUGAAGUCAAGCUGACUCUGCCUUUAGCCUCCUACAGGAAAAGGUAGAUAGAACAGGUCUUGUUUGCAAAAUAAAUUCAAGACCUACUUAUCUACCAACAGCCAUUGCCUACGUCCCACAGUCUUCCUACAAGAAGUGGGUGGAGUGAACUCCUAGAUGAGGAAGGCUGGGAAAGCCAGAGUGGACACAGUCUCUACCAGUGAUAGGAAGGUGCUUGGAGGUCAGACGGGCGGGUUAGAAAGUUGAGAACUUGUUUCCUAUAAUGCAG
rnacentral:lncRNA from 1 species